rnacentral:tRNA from 1 species
GGAGGGUAUAUGCUUCUGGUGGACAUCGUGGGCUUCAAACCCAUUUGAGCGAAUAGGUGUCUAUUUGCUGGGGAGUUCGAUUCUCUCACCCUCUCGCCA